rnacentral:rRNA from 1 species
UACAGAGGUCUCAAGCGUUGUUCGGAUUCAUUGGGCGUAAAGGGUGCGUAGGUGGCGCCGUAAGUCAGGUGUGAAAUUUCGGAGCUUAACUCCGAAACUGCAUUUGAUACUGCGGUGCUUGAGGACUGGAGAGGAGACUGGAAUUCACGGUGUAGCAGUGAAUGCGUAGAUAUCGUGAGGAAGACCAGUGGCGAAGGCGGGUCUCUGGACAGUUCCUGACACUGAGGCACGAAGGCCAGGGGAGCAAACGGG